AUACUUUGACAUUGCAGUAUGAUUGAUGAAUAAAUAUUUUUUUCAUUAUUUUUUUUUCUUCCAUAUCAGCAACAGACCAUACAUACUCGGCAGAUUGUGAUCAAUCAAGACAAGGCAAACAUGGCUCACAAUUUUGAACUGCUGUGCCGUCUUGCAAGAGAGUGAGAUUCAGCAACACAUAGAAAUACCACAGCAUGGAUUAAGAGACAGGAAUAAUCCAUUUGAAUACUACGAGGAUGAACCUCUCAGAGUGGGGUACCAACAGAGAGGACCACACAUUGCCUGUCAUGUUACAGGUUUUGACAGGACUUUGUUUUUAUGCCAUUGGUACCUUUUAGAAGAUGCAAGCAGACGAAGCAACUAUAUCACAGUCAUCCGUGUGCAGAAUCAUCAAAGAUUUUUUCUGAGGCAAUAGCAAGGAGUAAUAGUUAAUGAAGUUUCCAAUGACAAGAAAUUCAAACCACCCAUCAGUCAUAGGUGCUAUCGAUUUGGGCCAAUCCGGGCCAUGUCUACAUCAGGAGUCCUGAUGGGGAACAAGCCCUGUACUUAGCAGGAAGAACAGGUCUUCUGUAAAUGUAUAGGUAUCCGUUGCUCCCCUCUUUGAUGAAUUCCUGCCUGCAUUCUGUUGUCAAUAGAAAAGGACGGUGUGCUACGGGUAUUAAACAUUCCAUUGGAUUAUCUGUGCAUGAAAGUGGACACUUGUGAUAAAAAUAUGGUAGCUUGGUUGAUAGGAUGUAUUCAUGCAUUCCGAUUUAUCAUUAGUGAUCAAAUGACCGUCUUGCUUUUUAAAACCCAAAUUCACAACAUUUUUCUUGUUUGACAAAAAGUUUGGGACGUGAAUUCCAGGAUAUAAAUGACACACAUGAUGGGCUAAUGUAUAAGCAGGUACACGAGAGGUAUAAGCAACAUUUUUUUUGCUUAAUUAAGUUUGGCAUGAGAUGGACUUGGUCUUUUUUAUGAUUCAAGUCGAUUUUAUACCAAGUUUGUUUUAAUCAACAAUCAA